GAAUGACUCUCGGCAAUGGAUAUCUCGGCUCUUGCAUCGAUGAAGAGCGCAGCGAAAUGUGAUACGUGGUGCGAAUUGCAGAAUCCCGCGAACCAUCGAGUCUUUGAACGCAAGUUGCGCCUGAGGCCAGCCGGCCAAGGGUACGUUCGCCUGGGCGUCAAGCAUU
rnacentral:rRNA from 2 species